rnacentral:rRNA from 1 species
UACAGAGGUCCCAAGCGUUGUUCGGAUUCAUUGGGCGUAAAGGGUGCGUAGGCGGCAUCGUAAGUCGGAUGUGAAAUCUUGGGGCUCAACCCCGAAACUGCAUUCGAUACUGCGGUGCUCGAGGACUCUAGAGGAAACCGGAAUUCACGGUGUAGCAGUGAAAUGCGUAGAUAUCGUGAGGAAGACCAGUGGCGAAGGCGGGUUUCUGGAGAGUUCCUGACGCUGAGGCACGAAGGCCAGGGGAGCAAACGGG